ensembl:lncRNA
AGAAAACAGAAAGUGCUCAGUAUUCUGCUAUUUUGAAUGAUUAUAUCCAUAGCACUGCUAUUCUUUUUAUUAUUUUUCAGGAUCUUCUAAAAGUGUCUUCUGGAAGACAUAAAGCCUGGAGAAACUGUCACUCAAGCAUCUCACUAGGAUGUUAGAUUGAAUAUUUGUUUCUUUUUUAAGUCACUGCUUUUCUGAGAUGGUUCCCAUGAUGGAUGUAUUUAGUAUGUAUCACAAAAUAUACAGUAAUUAAAAAUUAAGAAAAAAAUAAAUUUAAAAUGAAAAAGGCUCAAGAUACACUAUGUAUAUGUAGCACUUUCCCAAGAUGAAAGUAGUUACUAUGCAUCUUAACUUUACUAAUAAAAAUUGAAAAAUUAAAAGAAAAGACUGCUCAAACCUCUAGGUCCUUCCAGAAAGGAUCCCAUUGGAUGUAUAUUUACUGAAACAUGGAACUCUUCGUUCUAUGUAUGCCAGAGCAGUAAUUUAAAGUGGAAACCUUAUUUUAAAGUGCCCUUUGUUUUGUAUGUGUUUCUGAAAUUCUCCUUUCUCAGGGAGACUAGUGAAAUGGCAGCUUGCAGUGUUUUGUCCCUGCGGGCCUUAUUUAUGGGGCCACUCAUAUCUAAAUGAAAGUAGUAAAUAAUGUAGCUAAGUGGAAUGAAUAUAAUAAUUAUAUCAGUUGGAUGUAGCCCCUAAGCACACAUGCUAACAUUUGGGGGACUCUAGUUGAUGUCACUGAGUGGAAAAGAAACUUGGGUGAAUGAGCGUGCAACGUGCCUUCCCAAGUUCAGUCAUUUCACACUUGUGAGCUAACUUUGUAGCCCACCAUAAAUCAACAGGCACAGCUGCUUUCUACAUUACCCCUGUUAUUGUUUUCUAGUUGAGGAUCAGCAUGGCACUAGGGGUUUGGAUUUCCUUGACGUUAUCCACAUAACUGUUCCUCUAAGACUCACCUUUUCUCCAGAUGAGAGGUGAAAAGAAUUGUGAAAAAGUAGCAGUUCUCCAGUCAGUCUCCACACUAGUCUUUCACAGGGCACUUUCGUAAAUGACUCAACCCUGGACACCACCCAAAAACUUCAGAUUUCAUUAGUUUUAGAUGAAUCCAUGUGUCAGUAAAGGACACAUUGCCAUUAAUUCCCCUAAAAGUACUCCCCAUUGCUUUGAAAAUAGUUACCCAUCAUUCUUGCUACUUUUGGAAGCAGUUCUGGAAGUCUUUUUGUUUGUUUGUUUUUAUGUGAUAUGAUAAAAAAUAUGGUGAAGGUUGCUGCAGAGUGCCAUCCAACUGAAAGGCUGGCUUGUAAAACAUUACUGUGUGUCCUCACCCACCUUGUUCAUUGGAUCUGGUACCAUGCAACUUCUGGUUCUUCUCCAAAGUCAAAAUGACCAUGAAAGAUUACCAUUUUGAAUCUGUUCAGGACCUGGGCAACCAAGACAGCACAACUAAAUACAGUCACAAAAGAGGACUCCAGACAUGCUUCAGAAAGUGGCAAGAAUGACAGGGUGAGUGUGUUUGAAGUGAUGGGGAGUAUUCCGAGGGGGAUUAACAGCAAUGUGUCUUUUACUGUAAUAAAUUUUUAAAAUAUUUGCCUUAUGUUUUGUUUCACUCUCUGUCUUCUCUCUCUCUCUCUCUCUCUCUCUCUCUCUCUCUCUCACACACACACACACACACACACACACACACACACACACUUUUUACUUCAUUCUGCAAGAUACCCAAAGUUGAGAACCACUUCCUCAGUCAUCAUACAAUCCAUGCUGGCUCUUUAAUAUUCUUAUCCACAUUCCUUUGUAGGUGAGAUCCAGGCAUAUCAUUGUUGUAUGUGUUUUUCGUCUUAACCAAUGAUGGCGCCAUUCAGUAUUCAAAAAAUAUACAGGACUAGGCAUGGUGGACCAGAUAAUGGAUUGGUCAUUUAAUUAUGAAGAUCAAGAUCACCUAGAAAUUGUUUCUGGCUUCUUCUCAUAUCUGUUAAAUUAUAAAUGGUGGUAGAUCCUAACACCCAGUGAUUUCAUAAGACCUCGAGGUAAUUCUGAUUGUAUACCAAAGUCUGAAAACGGCUCUCAUGGACUAUUGGUGAUACUGAGGAUUAGUCUCAUUUGAAAAAAUGAAUUGUUGGAGAAUUGUGAACUUUAUUUGCCUCUCUCCAUCUCAUUUCUUUUUCUGGUGUCUCUGUCUUUUUUCUUCCUCCAUGGCUCUUUUAUUUUCUCUAGGAAAUGGUAAUCAUUAUAAAGGGGUAAAUUCAACCUUAUGCUCGUUUAUGUUGUGCUUGUAUUGGAGUGUGUAUGCAGAAGUACUUCUGCCCACUCUGGCUUAAAGUAUUACUCCACAUCAUGGAUCUUCUUCAUUUGUCUUUUGUUAUGAGUGCAUUUCAUGUACUUUACAUUUAAUUUCAUUUAUUUUGGGGCUCUAUUACUAUAGAGCUCUAUAGUAUUUGUUCCUUGGCUUCAACCUCAAUGUUACAGAGCACUUUGAAUAUAUAGCACCAUAAGAGAAAGAC